rnacentral:sRNA from 1 species
AAAAUAAGCGUCUGCUUCUCAGUCAGGGAUGCGAGAGUGUUUAGAGUGUUAGCCUUUCCUCUGCCUCCAUACAAAGCAUUUUAUCAUUUCGGGUUUCCAACAGAGGUUCCUCCUCUCUGUGUCAACACAUACUGCUUUUCGUUCCAGGCUCCCCCUUGGUUUAGGUUGCCCCUUGAUUACAGUUCCUUCUCCAUGAGCUAAGGGGACAUUAGCUCUGAUGAUGGCACCUGGUCACACUGGCAAGCUAACAGCUGAAAAAAAUCUGGUCUGAAUUAAAGCUUUUCCUUUUUAAAAAAAUACAGCUCUUAGGAAGUUUAAAGCAACGUGCACCCCAUUUCGAGUCUGUCUGUCACACAGAUGUGUGUUUCCGGGGUGGGCACAAUGUCACAGAAGUAUUGCUACAUUCAUUAUUUCCCAGUUAUGAACAGAGCCAUCCCCAACAGCCUUCUGGGAAAUGACGGAAGCACUGGAGAAGAAAUUAGAGGUGAGUCCUAUGGGUUGUAAGUAACGGCCUCUGGAGGUUUGGAAGGCACGGUUAGGAAUAUGUGAGACUAAACGGAGUGAGGGAUGUUCAUGUCUCUCCAGAACAGGUUCUCUUAGUUCCGAUGCUGGAUCGCCCUUAAUAUCCACCCUUUGUGAUCGUCUUCACACGACGCCAUCGAGAAGGCAAGGAUGAAGUUGAAAGGGUCUUGAUCACCCUGAGGCCGCCAGGAGCUUAACGUUUGAAAAGCUGCGUCCAAUGGGGUUUUGUUCACAGGGGGCGUGUACAUUUGAAAUGGCGGCAGAUGGUUGGGGGAUGUACCGUCCUUCAAACAUAUAAACGAGAGCUUUCUAGUUAAACAAUUGAGCGGUUCAAGUUAAGUAUGAACUUGAGACAUCUGCGUCAGAGGUUCGUUAUAUUAGAUAAAAGAAAUCGACAUUCUUGUUGAGACAAGCGAAGAUGGUUCUUCUGUGAAGAUGUUCAUUCAUGUGCCCAGAGGAGUUCUGGAGGCCUGGACCUCACUGGAAUCUUCCAGAACUGGGUCUACAGAUGAUAUACAGUUGAUGUUCCCUUGCUAAGGAAUUGAGGAUCUCAGUGUGAGAUGGGUGUGAAGCUGGCCUUGCUCACCGCAAAGCCCAAGCCUCUGUUACGCCUCUGUUUUUCCCGUUCGCUGUUGUUCUAUUGGAAAGGUCAAGGCAUGGGUCACCCAAAAAGUGUCAGGAAUGGGUUCUGCCUUGUGAAGUGAGCCUUAAGUCAAAUCAGAUAUUGGUUGGUUACUUCCACAGACUUUGUGUCACCAUUGUACACUAGCCCAUUUUGCAGGACACCAACGUAGAUUAAAGGGUAAGUGGCUGUUUUGGUGUAUACAUUCUCCUUCAGUAGCAGGUGGAAUACUGUCCCGCG